GAUGGAGGGGGAUAACUACUGGAAACGGUAGCUAAUACCGCAUAACGUCGCAAGACCAAAGAGGGGGACCUUCGGGCCUCUUGCCAUCGGAUGUGCCCAGAUGGGAUUAGCUAGUAGGUGGGGUAACGGCUCACCUAGGCGACGAUCCCUAGCUGGUCUGAGAGGAUGACCAGCCACACUGGAACUGAGACACGGUCCAGACUCCUACGGGAGGCAGCAGUGGGGAAUAUUGCACAAUGGGCGCAAGCCUGAUGCAGCCAUGCCGCGUGUAUGAAGAAGGCCUUCGGGUUGUAAAGUACUUUCAGCGGGGAGGAAGGGAGUAAAGUUAAUACCUUUGCUCAUUGACGUUACCCGCAGAAGAAGCACCGGCUAACUCCGUGCCAGCAGCCGCGGUAAUACGGAGGGUGCAAGCGUUAAUCGGAAUUACUGGGCGUAAAGCGCACGCAGGCGGUUUGUUAAGUCAGAUGUGAAAUCCCCGGGCUCAACCUGGGAACUGCAUCUGAUACUGGCAAGCUUGAGUCUCGUAGAGGGGGGUAGAAUUCCAGGUGUAGCGGUGAAAUGCGUAGAGAUCUGGAGGAAUACCGGUGGCGAAGGCGGCCCCCUGGACGAAGACUGACGCUCAGGUGCGAAAGCGUGGGGAGCAAACAGGAUU
rnacentral:rRNA from 1 species